rnacentral:rRNA from 1 species
UACGUAGGGUGCGAGCGUUAAUCGGAAUUACUGGGCGUAAAGCGUGCGCAGGCGGUUCGUUAAGUCAGAUGUGAAAGCCCCGGGCUCAACCUGGGAACUGCAUUCGAUACUGCGUGGCUAGAGUGCUGGAGAGGAGACUGGAAUUUACGGUGUAGCAGUGAAAUGCGUAGAUAUCGUAAGGAAGACCAGUGGCGAAAGCGAGUCUCUGGACAGCAACUGACGCUGAGGCACGAAGGCCAGGGGAGCAAACGGG